CGGGGCCUUCGCGAUGCAUCUAGAUUCGCGGCCUAUCAGCUUGUUGGUGAGGUAACGGCUCACCAAGGCAUCGACGGGUAGCUGGUCUGAGAGGACGAUCAGCCACACUGGAACUGAGACACGGUCCAGACUCCUACGGGAGGCAGCAGCAGGGAAUAUUGCACAAUGGGCGAAAGCCUGAUGCAGCAACGCCGCGUGAGGGAUGACGGCCUUCGGGUUGUAAACCUCUUUCAGGAGGGAAGAAAUUGACGGUACCUCCAAAAGAAGCCCCGGCUAACUACGUGCCAGCAGCCGCGGUAAUACGUAGGGGGCGAGCGUUGUCCGGAUUUAUUGGGCGUAAAGAGCUCGUAGGCGGCUCAGUAAGUCGGCUGUGAAAGUCCGAGGCUCAACCUCGGAACUGCAGUCGAUACUGCUGUGGCUAGAGUCAGGUAGAGGAGAAUGGAAUUCCCGGUGUAGCGGUGGAAUGCGCAGAUAUCGGGAGGAACACCAGUAGCGAAGGCGGUUCUCUGGGCCUGUACUGACGCUGAGGAGCGAAAGCGUGGGGAGCAAACAGGAUUAGAUACCCUGGUAGUCCACGCCGUAAACGUUGGGUACUAGGUGUGGCGAUCUGACUAACGAUUGCUGUGCCGAAGCUAACGCAUUAAGUACCCCGCCUGGGGAGUACGGA
rnacentral:rRNA from 1 species